UUACUGCAUCAAGAGUAGAGUUUAGUCUCUCUCCAACCUGCCCACUCCGGUAAGGUGGAAAAAGUGAUGCGGCAUUCUGCAAUACAAGGAGGAAGA
rnacentral:ncRNA from 10 species